CGAGUAGCUCGUUGCAUAUCCGUCCACGUAAACCCGUCCAUUCUGCGUCGGCUGCGGAAAGCACAUUCACCAAUUGGAAUCUACAUAUAUUUUUUUUGCAGCUGUUCCAGCUCACUGUGACACCAUAUGUCUGCGGGUGUUUUAUUGAAGUACAUUAAACGUAAAUAGUCGCUGUAAAAGUCAAAAAGUGUGAAAUUUAACGUUGGUUAUUGCUUUUAAGUUCAAUUAUUGUAUCUUAAAAAAUAUAGAGUUUGCUAAAGCAAUUGUUAGUGAUUGCUGCAUGAGAAAGGCUCAUAUAUUUAUUAUAGGCGUGGUCAAGAGAACGUCAUGCCUAUCACGAAUAUAUAAUUUGUACCACAUUUAUGUAUUUAAAUAUAUUCUGAAAUAAGCUUGAAUAUGGAA